rnacentral:pre_miRNA from 1 species
CUUGUAGUCCCUCCGUCCGAAAAUACUUUUCAUAGGAAUGAAUGUAUCUAGAUAUAUUUUAGUUCUAGAUACAUCCAUUUUCAUUUAUUUGUACGACAAGUAUUUCCGGAUAGAGGGAGUAUAUU